UUCAUAACUUUUCUCAGGUUCCUUUUCCUAAUUUCGAAGCAAGAGUAAACAGUAAGCAAAGGGCAACUGAACUUUUGUAGAAGUUAAUAAAUGGCAAGUGGUCUUAACAAGCUACAAUCCCAAGUAUUAAAAAAGCUGCUGCCAUGCUUGAAACAUUCCUUAUUUAAUGAUUCUACGAAUUUUGGAUCUAAAUGCAGAACUGUAAUGACUAUUAGCUUCAAUGCAGGCUUUCCAGUCAAUGAUGCUUUUGUUAUUCAAGGGCAAGAAAAGCUUCACAAACGAAGGACUUCAUUGACAUUAAAAGAAAAAGAAAAGGGAGAUUGGAGAAAUCUUACACUAGCUGAAAAGAAAGAAUUGUAUCAAUUAAGCUUUAACCAACCCUUUUGUGAAGCAAUUGAAAGUUCCGAAGAAGAAUGGAAACUCAUAUUAGCUGGUGCUUUUACUGCUAUGGGGUUAAUGACAUUAGGAAUUUAUAUGUGGCUGUCACAAAGAGUGUUCAAUAAAAUUUAUGAUGAGCCUCUGCAAUUUCAAAAUGAACUGCCACUCAAGAACCGUACAAAUGAGUUCUUUACUCUGAAUAUCAAUGCCGAUGUAGACUACAAGAAAUAAUUUCCUCACAACACAGUUUGAGUAGUGUAAGUGCUAUUCAGUUGUAAACAUGUUCAUUCUUUCAGUUUUUCUUUUGCCAUUAAAAACAUUUUUACAUCUU